ACAUAUAUGCGUGUGUGUGUAUGUAUAUAUAUAUAUAUAUAUAUAUAUAUAUUUGCUAAACAGUUCAAUAACGCAACAUUUACCGAUUUUUGAACAAGAAAGAACAGAAGAAAUGAGAAAUACACGUUGAAGAAUAAAAGUACGGUGGUAACAUUAGCCCAUUAAAUAUAAUUUGAAGUGAAAGAAUGGCAACUGAGGAACUGUGUUUGAGGUAAUAUCAGAGUACAGUCAUAUCAGAGGUGAUAAAAGAAAUAUAUUGCAGGUACAAUGCGAUAAAACAUCUAAAAGGACUAUUGGUAACAACUAUGAAAAAUGAUACAGAGAUAACAUGUAGUGGAUAUUAGUGCAAAGAUGUUAAUAUACACAAUAACUGUUAUAGUCACGAUACAUACAAAGCAGGAAUAAUGCGAUAAACCAGUUGAAAAGGACUUUGAAAUGCUUAUAGAUGAUAAAUGUAACACUAAAAUAGCACAUCAAAGUUGAAGGGAUGGGUUAAUAAAACAUAUUUAAUCUAUUUGAAGAUGAUUCUGUCUAUUUUGGUACAAUGCCAGCAAUUUUGAGUGUGUACAGAGAUCGAAUCGAUUACAUCGAACCUGGUACUUGAUGCUGCUUUAUUUUAGACGUCCUCAAAAUGGAAAAAAAAAAGGAUAAGUUGACCUCGGCAGGAUUUGAACUCGACAUAUAAAGAGCCUGUACAAAUUCUGCAAGACAUCUUUUACAACGCUUGUAGCACGACGCCCUACUCUAUUCUAACUAUAAUGCUAAUUAGAACAAUAUUUCAUUUGAAAUACAGAAUAUAAAUUCAUGAGAACACUUGUUGUUUGUUCCUUCUCGAGCCAUGCUUGGCUCAUAAAGGCCGGUUUCAAAGUUUCAUUGGAGUAUAAGUGUCCCCCCUGGACGGGAAACCGGUCCAUUGCAGGUGUGCUCCUAGAUGCAAGAGGAAAGAGUCACAGAAAUUUGUGACGAAAGAGUAAGCAGAAGUUCGUCAUUACCUUUUGCCGGAGCCGCGUGGAGGUGAGGUGUUUCGCUCAUAAACACACACAACGCCCGGUCUGACAUUAGAAUCCGCGAUCCAUCGACCGCUAGUCCGCUGCUCCAACCCCUAGGCCAUGUGCCUCCACUUCAUUUGAAGUACAGAAUAUAAAUUCCUGAGAAAACUUAAUUCUCGCUAUAUUUUGUACGGUGUAUAAUGAUAAUAUUCCAUUUCUUUUAAAUACAUAACAAGGAAUACCUUAUAAAGCACCCGAAACUCGUUAAACAGAAUGAAAACUUUGGUAGUUAGCACUAAAAGACUAUAUAUAUAUAUAUAUAUAUAAGAAAAUAAAUAAACGGAAACAACAUUACUUUUAUGUUUUAAUGGAUGACGACAAAGAUAUAAAAGUAAACACAUCCGCCGCAAAACCAUUGGUAUUCGUAUAGACUGCAUUUUCAGAGAUAUUCUAUUUAUAAUAAUACAACUAUGGGUAUUAUUGUCAAUAAAUUACCACCAGUUGGAUCUUAUGUCGAAUUCAUCAAUCGGUCGUUCAACCCAAUAUUCUCUACAUAUUUAAUGAAAAGUGCGUACCAGUCAUAUGUAAUUUUAAUGUCACUCACAAAAUUAAGGUACCGACCCCUCCCACAGACAUUUGCGUGCUGUGCUAAAUGCUUUUAAAUUCUGAGUUCAAAUUCCGCCGAAGUUGACUCUGCGUUUCGUCAUUUUGAGACCGAUGAAGAUUCGAUUAUUAACAGUGUGGCGUUCGUUAAUGACAUGAUUCAAAAUGAAAUGAAAACUUUAUGCCUGCAACUUCUUGUUGCUCUUUAUCCUUACUUGAGGCCAAGAAGAUUUUCAUCAACCUGCCGUCGCCAGAAAACUUCUAAAAAAAUGCAGCAAACAAGAUAUGGAAUGCCAUGAGGGAUGCAAUUAGCUAUCAAAUGUAUAAUUUACAACCAAACGGAAAAUAAACAAAGGUAUACAAGAAGUCGUUAUGCCUCUUUAGUUCUUCUACAGCUCUUGAGAAAAAAUGCAACGACCUCAAAUCCAAAGUUACAUUAGUCACAGCCAAAUUGUCGAAAUGUGCCCAGGUCCAUAAUCAGUUGACCCUUCGUUCCAAACAGACACAUCGUAUCCUACAGAGCCAAAACACUUCCAGACGAUAUCAUGACAAAUAUAUCGAUUUUCAAAUAAACACCUUCUUUCA
rnacentral:lncRNA from 1 species